CAAAAGGGUGCUUGCUCUACGUUUAUAUGGCACAUUCGACCGUAUUUCUUGAAAAAGGAUUCGGUUGGGUGAGGUAUGGUUAUCAAGACAUACCUAGCACAUAAUUUUUUCACCCGGAAAGCUGUUGACCGCUAGUUAACUAUGCGUCGACGCUUUC